rnacentral:ncRNA from 2 species
CUGACGAAACAGGGGUGCUUCACCGGUAUGCCUGCAUGCCGCCGUGAGGCUGAGAGAGACCCUUCGCACCCGAUCCGGGUAAUACCGGCGCGGGAAGUUUCCGGAAAGUCUUG